AAUGUACUCCCUCCGUCCGGAAUUACUUGUCGCGAAAAUGGAUGUAUCUAGAACUAAAAUACGUCUAGAUACAUCCAUUUCCCCGACAAGUAUUUCCGGACGGAGGGAGUAGUAU
rnacentral:pre_miRNA from 1 species